rnacentral:rRNA from 1 species
AUUGAACGCUGGCGGCAUGCCUUACACAUGCAAGUCGAACGGCAGCACGGGUGCUUGCCCCUGGUGGCGAGUGGCGCACGGGUGAGUAAUACAUCAGAACAUCUCCUGUAGUGGGGGAUAGCCCGGCGAAAGCCGGAUUAAUACCGCAUACGAUCUACGGAUGAAAGCGGGGGACCUUCGGGCCUCGCGCUAUAGGGUUGGCCGAUAGCUGAUUCGCUAGUUGGUGGGGUAAAGGCCUACCAACGCGAAGACCAGUAGCUGGUCUGAGAGGACGGACAGUCACAAUGGGACUGAGAAACGGGCCAGACUCCCAAGGGAGGCAGCAGUGGGGAAUUUUGGGCAAUGGGCGAAAGCCUGAUCCAGCCAAGCCGCGGGUGUGAAGAAGGGCUUCGGGUUUUAAAACACUUUUAGUUGGGAAGAAAAGCAGUGAGUUAAUACCUUGCGGGGUUGGCGGUACCAAAAAAAAAAGCCCCGGCUAACUUCGUG